AUUGACGCCAUGAGCGCGCUGCUGCGGCUACUGCGCACGGGUGCCCCAGCCGCUGCGUGCCUGCGGUUGGGGACCAGUGCAGGGACCGGGUCGCGCCGUGCUAUGGCCCUGUACCACACUGAGGAGCGCGGCCAGCCCUGCUCGCAGAAUUACCGCCUCUUCUUUAAGAAUGUAACUGGUCACUACAUUUCCCCCUUUCAUGAUAUUCCUCUGAAGGUGAACUCUAAAGAGGAAAAUGGCAUUCCUAUGAAGAAAGCACGAAAUGAUGAAUAUGAGAAUCUGUUUAAUAUGAUUGUAGAAAUACCUCGGUGGACAAAUGCUAAAAUGGAGAUUGCCACCAAGGAGCCAAUGAAUCCCAUUAAACAAUAUGUAAAGGAUGGAAAGCUACGCUAUGUGGCAAAUAUCUUCCCUUACAAGGGUUAUAUAUGGAAUUAUGGUACCCUCCCUCAGACUUGGGAAGAUCCCCAUGAAAAAGAUAAGAGCACGAACUGCUUUGGAGAUAAUGAUCCUAUUGAUGUUUGCGAAAUAGGCUCAAAGAUUCUUUCUUGUGGCGAAGUUAUUCAUGUGAAGAUCCUUGGAAUUUUGGCUCUUAUUGAUGAAGGUGAAACAGAUUGGAAAUUAAUUGCUAUCAAUGUGAAUGAUCCUGAAGCCUCAAAGUUUCAUGGAUCCUCUUUCCUUGUAAACCUCAAUUCUAAACUGGAAGAUAUUACCAUUUCUAAGAUGACUGAACCUCAUUAACAAUAUAUUAAUCUUAGGUUAUGUACCUUUUCUUGCACUUGAAACCGGAAGAGAUUUCUUUUUUGUCAUUCUUGUAUAUAAUUGAGAAAGGAAGAGGUCUGAUA
rnacentral:sRNA from 1 species